GACGAACGCUGGCGGCGCGCCUAACACAUGCAAGUCGAACGAGCGAGAGAGAGCUUGCUUUCUCGAGCGAGUGGCGAACGGGUGAGUAACGCGUGAGGAACCUGCCUCAAAGAGGGGGACAACAGUUGGAAACGACUGCUAAUACCGCAUAAGCCCACGGCUCGGCAUCGAGCAGAGGGAAAAGGAGCAAUCCGCUUUGAGAUGGCCUCGCGUCCGAUUAGCUAGUUGGUGAGGUAAUGGCCCACCAAGGCGACGAUCGGUAGCCGGACUGAGAGGUUGAACGGCCACAUUGGGACUGAGACACGGCCCAGACUCCUACGGGAGGCAGCAGUGGGGAAUAUUGCACAAUGGGGGAAACCCUGAUGCAGCGACGCCGCGUGGAGGAAGAAGGUCUUCGGAUUGUAAACUCCUGUUGUUGGGGAAGAUAAUGACGGUACCCAACAAGGAAGUGACGGCUAACUACGUGCCAGCAGCCGCCGUAAGAC
rnacentral:rRNA from 1 species